rnacentral:rRNA from 1 species
UGCGGAGGGAUCAUUACCGAGUUAUACAACUCAUCAACCCUGUGAACAUACCUAUAACGUUGCCUCGGCGGGAACAGACGGCCCCGUAACACGGGCCGCCCCCGCCAGAGGACCCCCUAACUCUGUUUCUAUAAUGUUUCUUCUGAGUAAACAAGCAAAUAAAUUAAAACUUUCAACAACGGAUCUCUUGGCUCUGGCAUCGAUGAAGAACGCAGCGAAAUGCGAUAAGUAAUGUGAAUUGCAGAAUUCAGUGAAUCAUCGAAUCUUUGAACGCACAUUGCGCCCGCCAGUAUUCUGGCGGGCAUGCCUGUUCGAGCGUCAUUACAACCCUCAGGCCCCCGGGCCUGGCGUUGGGGAUCGGCGGAAGCCCCCUGCGGGCACAACGCCGUCCCCCAAAUACAGUGGCGGUCCCGCCGCAGCUUCCAUUGCGUAGUAGCUAACACCUCGCAACUGGAGAGCGGCGCGGCCACGCCGUAAAACACCCAACUUCUGAAUGUUGACCUCGAAUCAGGUAGGAAUACCCGCUGAACUUAAGCAUAUCAAUAAGCCGGAGGAA